rnacentral:rRNA from 1 species
UUGAACGCUGGCGGGAUGCCUUACACAUGCAAGUCGAACGGCAGCGCGGACUUCGGUCUGGCGGCGAGUGGCGAACGGGUGAGUAAUGUAUCGGAACGUGCCCAGUAGCGGGGGAUAACUACGCGAAAGCGUAGCUAAUACCGCAUACGCCCUGAGGGGGAAAGCGGGGGAUCUUCGGACCUCGCACUAUUGGAGCGGCCGAUAUCGGAUUAGCUAGUUGGUGGGGUAACGGCUCACCAAGGCGACGAUCCGUAGCUGGUUUGAGAGGACGACCAGCCACACUGGGACUGAGACACGGCCCAGACUCCUACGGGAGGCAGCAGUGGGGAAUUUUGGACAAUGGGGGCAACCCUGAUCCAGCCAUCCCGCGUGUGCGAUGAAGGCCUUCGGGUUGUAAAGCACUUUUGGCAGGAAAGAAACGGCGCCGGCUAAUACCUGGCGUAACUGACGGUACCUGCAGAAUAAGCACCGGCUAACUACGU